rnacentral:tmRNA from 1 species
GGGGGCGACCUGGUUUCGACGUGGUCGGUUCUCCGGCAGAGCUGCAAGCCGAGGUCGCCGGUUGGCCUCGUAAAUCCACCGGCAAACAAGCAAGUGCGAAGAACGAUCUCGCACUCGCCGCCUAACCUAGUUAGGUAGCGACGUCGCUCCGGAUUCGGCCCGUGGUUCGGGUAGCGGCGCCAACCAACGGGCUCGGCGCGGAGGGAGAGCCAAUCGCCCAAAGCGCGACAAUCAAGGAUGGCUAGGCCGUCGGUAGGGCGUCCGCCCCCGGCCGGCGGUCGAAGCUAAAGCGCGGACUACGCUUGUAGACGUUCUGACCGGUGCGUCCGCGGACGCGGGUUCGAUUCCCGCCGCCUCCAUCA